rnacentral:rRNA from 1 species
CGAACGAAGCACUUGAAACAGAUUCUUCGGAUGAAGUUUCCUGUGACUGAGUGGCGGACGGGUGAGUAACGCGUGGGUAACCUGCCUCAUACAGGGGGAUAACAGUCAGAAAUGACUGCUAAUACCGCAUAAGCGCACAGGACCGCAUGGUCCAGUGUGAAAAACUCCGGUGGUAUAAGAUGGACCCGCGUUGGAUCAGCUGGUUGGUGGGGUAACGGCCUACCAAGGCGACGAUCCAUAGCCGGCCUGAGAGGGUGAACGGCCACAUUGGGACUGAGACACGGCCCAGACUCCUACGGGAGGCAGCAGUGGGGAAUAUUGCACAAUGGGGGAAACCCUGAUGCAGCGACGCCGCGUGAAGGAAGAAGUAUCUCGGUAUGUAAACUUCUAUCAGCAGGGAAGAUAGUGACGGUACCUGACUAAGAAGCCCCGGCUAACUACGUGCCAGCAGCCGCGGUAAUACGUAGGGGGCAAGCGUUAUCCGGAUUUACUGGGUGUAAAGGGAGCGUAGACGGACUGGCAAGUCUGAUGUGAAAGGCGGGGGCUCAACCCCUGGACUGCAUUGGAAACUGUUAGUCUUGAGUGCCGGAGAGGUAAGCGGAAUUCCUAGUGUAGCGGUGAAAUGCGUAGAUAUU